UUAACCGUUUGAGCGCUAUGAACGGAUAUAUGCGUUCUCACAUAACCAUUCAAUUUAGGCUAUGAACGGAUAUAUGCGUUCCCACAUAACCAUUCAAUUUAGGCCAAAAGUGGCGUUAAAGUGACGUGAUAAAAGAGACGUAUGGAUUAAUAUCCACCUCACAUUCUGAUGAUUUCGUUGAAACAAAAAAAAAAAAAAAAUGAAUUAUCGAACUGGCAAACCAAAGCGAAAACCAAAGUGUGUAGCAGAGUACAAUGCCUUGAUGGGCGCCGUCGAUAAAAUCAAUAUGAUUUUGAGUUCGAAAAAGCACAAAAUGGUAUAACAAAUAUUUUUUCCACCUCCUAGACCUCGCUAUAUAUAAUGCAUAUAU